CAAUAGCGUAUAUUAAAGUUGUUGCAGUUAAAAAGCUCGUAGUUGGAUUUGUGGCGUACGGUGUGUUCCGGGCACUUGUUGUCUGAGUAACCUGCUGUUGCCAUCCUUGGGUGGAACCUGUGUGGCAUUAGGUUGUCGUGCAGGGGAUGCCCAUCAUUUACUGUGGAAAAAUUAGAGUGUUCAAAGCAGGCUUAUGCCGUUGAAUAUAUUAGCAUGGAAUAAUGAGAUAGGACUUUUUUGCUAUUUUGUUGGUUUGCGCAAAGAGGUAAUGAUUAAUAGGGACAGUUGGGGGUAUUCGUAUUCCAUUGUCAGAGGUGAAAUUCUUGGAUUUUUGGAAGACGAACUACUGCGAAAGCAUUUACCAAGGAUGUUUUCAUUAA
rnacentral:rRNA from 1 species